GAUGAACGCUAGCUACAGGCUUAACACAUGCAAGUCGAGGGGUAACGAGAGGGAAGCUUGCUUUCCUUGUCGACGACCGGCGCACGGGUGAGUAACGCGUAUCCAACCUGCCCCCAACUAGGGAAUAACCUUGCGAAAGUAAGACUAAUACCCUAUAAUUUCCUCAGAUGUCAUCUGACGAGGAAUAAAGAUUUAUCGGUUGUGGAUGGGGAUGCGUCUGAUUAGCUUGUUGGCGGGGUAACGGCCCACCAAGGCAACGAUCAGUAGGGGUUCUGAGAGGAAGGUCCCCCACAUUGGGACUGAGACACGGUCCAAACUCCUACGGGAGGCAGCAGUGAGGAAUAUUGGUCAAUGGGCGGAAGCCUGAACCAGCCAAGUAGCGUGCAGGAUGACGGCCCUAUGGGUUGUAAACUGCUUUUAUACAGGAAUAAAGUUAGCCACGUGUGGUUAUUUGUAGGUACUGUAUGAAUAAGGACCGGCUAAUUCCGUGCCAGCAGCCGCCGUAA
rnacentral:rRNA from 1 species